rnacentral:rRNA from 1 species
GAUGAACGCUAGCGGCAGGCUUAACACAUGCAAGUCGAGGGGUAGAGGAAGCUUGCUUCCUUGAGACCGGCGCACGGGUGCGUAACGCGUAUGCAACCUACCUUUUACAGAGGGAUAGCCCAGAGAAAUUUGGAUUAAUACCUCAUGGUAUAUAUCAUUCGCAUGUUUGAUAUAUUAAAGUUCCAACGGUAAAAGAUGGGCAUGCGUCCUAUUAGCUAGAUGGUAAGGUAACGGCCUACCAUGGCAACGAUAGGUAGGGGUCCUGAGAGGGAGAUCCCCCACACAGGUACUGAGACACGGACCAGACUCCUACGGGAGGCAGCAGUGAGGAAUAUUGGACAAUGGGCGCAAGCCUGAUCCAGCCAUGCCGCGUGCAGGAAGAAGCAUCUAAGGUGUGUAAACUGCUUUUGUACGGGAAGAAACACUCCUUCGUGAAGGAGCUUGACGGUACCGUAAGAAUAAGGAUCGGCUAACUCCGUGCCAGCAGCCGCCGUAAGAC